GACGAACGCUGGCGGCGUGCCUAAUACAUGCAAGUGGGAUGCAAGGAAACACACUGUGCUUGCACACCGUGUUUUCUUGAGUCGCGAACGGGUGAGUAACGCGUAGGUAACCUGCCCAUUAGCGGGGGAUAACUAUUGGAAACGAUAGCUAAUACCGCAUAAUAUUAAUUAUUGCAUGAUAAUUGAUUGAAAGAUGCAAGCGCAUCACUAGUAGAUGGACCUGCGUUGUAUUAGCUAGUUGGUAAGGUAAGAGCUUACCAAGGCGACGAUACAUAGCCGACCUGAGAGGGUGAUCGGCCACACUGGGACUGAGACACGGCCCAGACUCCUACGGGAGGCAGCAGUAGGGAAUCUUCGGCAAUGGACGAAAGUCUGACCGAGCAACGCCGCGUGAGUGAAGAAGGUUUUCGGAUCGUAAAGCUCUGUUGUAGGUCAAGAACGUGUGUGAGAGUGGAAAGUUCCACAGUGACGGUAGCUACCAGAAAGG
rnacentral:rRNA from 1 species